UACGAAGGGGGCUAGCGUUGCUCGGAAUCACUGGGCGUAAAGGGUGCGUAGGCGGCGCAGAAAGUAGGGUGUGAAAUCCCUCGGCUUAACCGAGGAACUGCGCCCUAAACUACUGUGCUCGAGGGAGAUAGAGGUGAGCGGAACUUAGGGUGGAGCGGUGAAAUGCGUUGAUAUCCUAAGGAACACCGGUGGCGAAAAGCGGCUCACUGGAUCUCUUCUGGACGCUGAGGCACGAA
rnacentral:rRNA from 1 species